AGAGUUUGAUCAUGGCUCAGGACGAACGCUGGCGGCGUGCCUAACACAUGCAAGUCGAACGGACGAGGCCCCUUCGGGGACCGAGUUAGUGGCGGACGGGUGAGUAACGCGUGAGCAACCUGCCUUUCAGAGGGGGACAACAGUUGGAAACGACUGCUAAUACCGCAUGAUGCAGCGAGAUCGCAUGGUCUUGCUGUCAAAGAUUUAUCGCUGAAAGAUGGGCUCGCGUCUGAUUAGCUAGUUGGAGGGGUAACGGCCCACCAAGGCGACGAUCAGUAGCCGGACUGAGAGGUUGAACGGCCACAUUGGGACUGAGAUACGGCCCAGACUCCUACGGGAGGCAGCAGUGGGGAAUAUUGGGCAAUGGGGGAAACCCUGACCCAGCAACGCCGCGUGAAGGAAGAAGGCUUUCGGGUUGUAAACUUCUUUUACCAGGGACGAAGAACGUGACGGUACCUGGAGAAAAAGCCACGGCUAACUACGUGCCAGCAGCCGCGGUAAUACGUAGGUGGCAAGCGUUGUCCGGAUUUACUGGGUGUAAAGGGCGUGUAGGCGGAGCUGCAAGUCAGAUGUGAAAUCUGGGGGCUUAACCCUCAAACUGCAUUUGAAACUGUAGCCCUUGAGUAUCGGAGAGGCAGGCGGAAUUCCUAGUGUAGCGGUGAAAUGCGUAGAUAUUAGGAAGAACACCAGUGGCGAAGGCGGCCUGCUGGACGACAACUGACGCUGAGGCGCGAAAGCGUGGGGAGCAAACAGGAUUAGAUACCCUGGUAGUCCACGCUGUAAACGAUGAAUACUAGGUGUGGGGGGACUGACCCCCUCCGUGCCGGAGUUAACACAAUAAGUAUUCCACCUGGGGAGUACGACCGCAAGGUUGAAACUCAAAGGAAUUGACGGGGGCCCGCACAAGCAGUGGAUUAUGUGGUUUAAUUCGACGCAACGCGAAGAACCUUACCGGGAUUUGAUAUCCUACUAACGAAGCAGAGAUGCAUUAGGUGCCCUUCGGGGAAAGUAGAGACAGGUGGUGCAUGGUUGUCGUCAGCUCGUGUCGUGAGAUGUUGGGUUAAGUCCCGCAGCGAGCGCAACCCCUAUUGUUAGUUGCUACGCAAGAGCACUCUAGCGAGACUGCCGUUGACAAAACGGAGGAAGGCGGGGACGACGUCAAAUCAUCAUGCCCCUUAUGUCCCGGGCUACACACGUAAUACAAUGGCGGUCAACAAAGGGAAGCAAAGCCGCGAGGCAGAGCAAACCCCCAAAAGCCGUCUCAGUUCGGAUUGCAGGCUGCAACUCGCCCGCACGAAGCUGGAAUUGCUAGUAAUCGUGGAUCAGAAUGCCACGGUGAAUACGUUCCCGGGCCUUGUACACACCGCCCGUCACACCAUGAGAGUCGGGAACACCCGAAGUCCGUAGUCUAACCCGCAAGGGAGGGCGCGGCCGAAGGUGGGUCUGAUAAUUGGGGUGAAGUCGUAACAAGGUA
rnacentral:rRNA from 1 species